rnacentral:rRNA from 1 species
CAUGCAAGUCGAACGGAAACGAUACUAGCUUGCUAGUAGGCGUCGAGUGGCGGACGGGUGAGUAACGCGUAGGAAUCUGCCUGAUAGUGGGGGAUAGCCCGAAGAAAUUCGGAUUAAUACCGCAUAAUCUAUUCGUAGUAAAGUGGGGGACUUUCGAGCCUCACGCUAUCAGAUGAGCCUGCGUAAGAUUAGCUUGUUGGUAGGGUAAAAGCCUACCAAGGCGACGAUCUUUAGCUGGUCUGAGAGGAUGAUCAGCCACAUCGGGACUGAGACACGGCCCGAACUCCUACGGGAGGCAGCAGUGGGGAAUAUUGGACAAUGGGGGCAACCCUGAUCCAGCAAUACCGCGUGUGUGAAGAAGGCCUGAGGGUUGUAAAGCACUUUCAAUUGUGAAGAAAAGUUAACGGUUAAUAACCGUUAGCCUUGACGUUAACUUUAGAAGAAGCACCGGCUAACUCCGUGCCAGCAGCCGCGGUAAUACGGAGGGUGCAAGCGUUAAUCGGAAUUACUGGGCGUAAAGCGUGCGUAGGUGGUUUAUUAAGUCAGAUGUGAAAGCCCCGGGCUUAACCUGGGAACUGCAUUUGAAACUGGUAAACUAGAGUAUGGUAGAGGAAAGUGGAAUUUCUGGUGUAGCGGUGAAAUGCGUAGAUAUCAGAAGGAACAUCAAUGGCGAAGGCAGCUUUCUGGACCAAUACUGACACUGAGGUACGAAAGCGUGGGUAGCAAACAGGAUUAGAUACCCUGGUAGUCCACGCCGUAAACGAUGAUAACUAGCCGUUGGGGGGAUUUACCCUUUAGUGGCGAAGCUACGCGUUAAGUUAUCCGCCUGGGGAGUACGGCCGCAAGGUUAAAACUCAAAGGAAUUGACGGGACCCGCACAAGCGGUGGAGCAUGUGGUUUAAUUCGAUGCAACGCGAAGAACCUUACCUGGUCUUGACAUCCUGCGAACUUUCUAGAAAAUAGAUGGUG